GACGAACGCUGGCGGCGUGCCUAAUACAUGCAAGUAGAACGCUGAAGGAGGAGCUUACUUCUCUGGAUGAGUUGCGAACGGGUGAGUAACGCGUAGGUAACCUGCCUGGUAGCGGGGGAUAACUAUUGGAAACGAUAGCUAAUACCGCAUAAGAGUAGAUGUUGCAUGACAUUUACUUAAAAGGUGCAAUUGCACCACUACCAGAUGGACCUGCGUUGUAUUAGCUAGUUGGUGGGGUAACGGCUUACCAAGGCGACGAUAGAUAGCCGACCGCAGAGGUUGACCGGCCCGACUGGUACUGUGGAACGGCCCAGACUCCUACGGGAGGCAGCAGUAGGGAAUCUUCGGCAAUGGACGGAAGUCUGACCGAGCAACGCCGGGCGAGUGAAGAAGGUUUUCGGAUCGUAAAGCGCUGUUGUAAGAGAAGAACGAGUGUGAGAGUGGAAAGUUCACACUGUGACGGUAUCUUACCUGAAGGGGACGGCUAACUACGUGCCAGCAGCCGCCGUAA
rnacentral:rRNA from 1 species